GGCUGUGUGGCGCAGUUGGUUAGCGCAGGAAUCUUAUACAUUCAAGGUCAGGGGUUCAAGUCCCUUCACAGCUA
rnacentral:tRNA from 1 species